rnacentral:rRNA from 1 species
AUUGAACGCUGGCGGCAUGCCUUACACAUGCCAGUCGAACGGCAGCACGGGUGCUUGCACCUGGUGGCGAGUGGCGAACGGGUGAGUAAUACAUCGGAACAUGUCCUGUAGUGGGGGAUAGCCCGGCGAAAGCCGGAUUAAUACCGCAUACGAUCUACGGAUGAAGGCGGGGGACCUUCGGGCCUCGCGCUAUAGGGUUGGCCGAUGGCUGAUUAGCUAGUUGGUGGGGUAAAGGCCUACCAAGGCGACGAUCAGUAGCUGGUCUGAGAGGACGACCAGCCACACUGGGACUGAGACACGGCCCAGACUCCUACGGGAGGCAGCAGUGGGGAAUUUUGGACAAUGGGCGAAAGCCUGAUCCAGCAAUGCCGCGUGUGUGAAGAAGGCCUUCGGGUUGUAAAGCACUUUUGUCCGGAAAGAAAUCCUUGGCCCUAAUACGGUCGGGGGAUGACGGUACCGGAAGAAUAAGCACCGGCUAACUACGUG